GGGGGUGAAUUAGUUUCGACGUGGGUAGGGAGAGCAUCAGAAGCGAGCCGAGGUCCCCAAUGCCUCGUUAAACGUGGGAUUUAAUUAACUGCAAACAAUAAUUACGCCUUAGCUGCUUAGUUCAGCUAACGUCCCUUGUUUCUCUGUCUGUUAGAAACAAGAUCGACGUCAACUUACAGACUACCCAUAAGGGAGUGCCUGGUACCUUGCGGGGAAAUUAACGGGCUGGUUUAGCCUCCAGCUGGCUACAAAGUAGGAGGAUAAACGAGAACUUUAAUUGUAGCUGCGCUCGGAGAUGCUGGUGUAAUUUCACUUGCGGACAGCGGUGCAACUCCGCUCACCUCCACCA
rnacentral:tmRNA from 1 species